rnacentral:rRNA from 1 species
UACGUAGGGAGCAAGCGUUGUCCGGAAUCAUUGGGCGUAAAGCGCGCGUAGGCGGCCCUGUAAGUCCGUUGUGAAAGUCAAAGGCUCAACCUUUGAAAGCCGAUGGAUACUGCAGGGCUAGAGUCCGGAAGAGGCGAGUGGAAUUCCUGGUGUAGCGGUGGAAUGCGCGGAUAUCAGGAGGAACACCAAUAGCGAAGGCAGCUCGCUGGGACGGUACUGACGCUAAGGCGCGAAAGCGUGGGGAGCGAACAGG